CCUACGGGUGGCAGCAGUGAGGAAUAUUGGGCAAUGGACGGAAGUCUGAACCAGCCAUGCCGCGUGCAGGAAGACGGCUCUAGGAGUUGUAACCUGCUUUUGCACAAGGGUAAACCUGAAUACGUGUAUUCAGCUGAAAGUACUGUACGAAUAAGCAUCGGCUAACUCCGAGCCAGCAGCCGCGGUCAUACGGAGGAUCCAAGCGUUAUCCGGAUUUAGUGGGUUUAAGGGGUGCGUAGGCGGAUUGAUAAGUUAGAGGUGAAAUGUCCGAGCUUAACUCGGGAACUGCCUCUAAUACUGUUGAUCUAGAGAGUAGAUGCGGUAGGCGGAAUGUAUGGUGUAGCGGUGAAAUGCUCAGAGAUCAUACAGAACACCGAUUGCGAAGGCAGCUUACCAAUCUAUAUCUGACGUUGAGGCACGAAAGCGUGGGGAGCAAACAGGAUUAGAUACCCUUGUAGUC
rnacentral:rRNA from 1 species